AGUGAGCGCUGGCGGCAGGCCUAACACAUGCAAGUCGAACGGCAGCACAAGAGAGCUUGCUCUCUGGGUGGCGAGUGGCGGACGGGUGAGGAAUGCAUCGGAAUCUGCCCAUUUGUGGGGGAUAACCUCGGGAAACCGGGACUAAUACCGCAUACGGCCUACGGGUGAAAGCAGGGGAUCUUCGGACCUUGCGCAGAUGGAUGAGCCGAUGCCGGAUUAGCUAGUUGGAGGGGUAAAGGCCCACCAAGGCGACGAUCCGUAGCUGGUCUGAGAGGAUGAUCAGCCACACUGGGACUGAGACACGGCCCAGACUCCUACGGGAGGCAGCAGUGGGGAAUAUUGGACAAUGGGCGCAAGCCUGAUCCAGCCAUGCCGCGUGUGUGAAGAAGGCCUUCGGGUUGUAAAGCACUUUUGUUGGGAAAGAAAAGCAGCCGGUUAAUACCCGGUUGUCAUGACGGUACCCAAAGAAUAAGCACCGGCUAACUUCGUG
rnacentral:rRNA from 1 species